GCACUUGCUUUCACAGCGCAUGCGCUAAAGUCCGAAAGAUACAGAGAAGCUUAGCAUGGCCCCUGCACGUGGAUGACACACAAAUUUGUGAAAUAUUCUUUU